rnacentral:sRNA from 1 species
GAAUAAGGAAUACCGUCCGGCCCCGGAA